CGAGUUACGGCAAUCGGUAUUGGGAAACCGAUCUCCAUGGGUUUGUUUGUGGGUGGUGGAUUUAGUGGUUAUUAGUUGUGGGUUAGACAUUGAUCCGGUAGACCUUCCUUAGGUCCGGUUGACAUUCUUUUGCAGUUAGGAGACAGACGCGACAUCCUUACAGAUGGGUAUUUCGAUCCGACGUCGGUACAGUGGUGCACGCUUGGUGAUGGUUUCUUACCCUUACUCUUCUGUUGUUACUAUCGCAUAGUAUAUUGAGCCUUGCACCCUUGUUUAUUUGUUAUACACUACUCAUUAUUUGCAUGCUUAGUAU
rnacentral:lncRNA from 1 species